UUACUCCUACGGGGGGCAGCAGUGAGGAAUAUUGGUCAAUGGCCGAGAGGCUGAACCAGCCAAGUAGCGUGCAGGAUGACGGCCCUCGUGGUUGUAAACUGCUUUUAGUCGGGAAUAAAAGGGGGCUCGUGAAGCCCGUAUUGUAUGUACCGUCAGAAAAAGGACCGGCUAAUUCCGUGCCAGCAGCCGCGGUAAUACGGAAGGUCCGGGCGUUAUCCGGAUUUAUUGGGUAUAAAGGGAGCGUAGGCGGGCCGUUAAGUCAGUUGUGAGAGUUCGGGGCUCA
rnacentral:rRNA from 1 species